rnacentral:rRNA from 1 species
AGUGAACGCUGGCGGUAGGCCUAACACAUGCAAGUCGAACGGCAGCACAGUAAGAGCUUGCUCUUACGGGUGGCGAGUGGCGGACGGGUGAGGAAUACAUAGGAAUCUACUUUUUCGUGGGGGAUAACGUAGGGAAACUUACGCUAAUACCGAAUACGACCUACGGGUGAAAGCAGGGGAUCUUCGGACCUUGCGCGAUUGAAUGAGCCGAUGUCGGAUUAGCUAGUUGGCGGGGUAAAGGCCCACCAAGGCGACGAUCCGUAGCUGGUCUGAGAGGAUGAUCAGCCACACUGGAACUGAGACACGGUCCAGACUCCUACGGGAGGCAGCAGUGGGGAAUAUUGGACAAUGGGCGCAAGCCUGAUCCAGCCAUACCGCGUGAGUGAAGAAGGCCUUCGGGUUGUAAAGCCCUUUUGUUGGGAAAGAAAAGCAGCAGGUUAAUACCCCGCUGUUCUGACGGUACCCAAAGAAUAAGCACCGGCUAACUUCGUG